rnacentral:misc_RNA from 1 species
AAAGUCGUAACAAGGUUUCCGUAGGUGAACCUGCGGAAGGAUCAUUACACUUGGGGGCUCCGAAAGGGCCCUCUGCUGCCGCAAGGUGGCAACCACACCCUCUGUCUACCUCUACCUCUUGUUGUUUCCUCGGCAGGCAGCUUACGCCAGCCGCUAGGAAUACCUUAAACCCUUGUAUUCGAAGCAUCCAAAACUCUGAUAACAAAACAAAUAAAUCACAACUUUCAACAAUGGAUCUCUUGGUUCUG